CCCUCUCGGUAAAGAAAUGCUUCCUCAUGUCCAGUCUCAACCUCCCUUGAUGCAGCUUUGAGCCAUUCCCAUGUGUCCUGUCCCUGGAUCCUGGGGAGAAGAGCUCAGCACCUCCCUCUCCACGUCCCUUUCUCAGGAGCCUGCAGAGAGCGAUGAG